rnacentral:tRNA from 1 species
GUUUCCGUAGUGUAGUGGUCAUCACGUUUGCCUAACAUGCAAUAGGUCCCCAGUUCAAACCUGGGCGGAAACA